rnacentral:miRNA from 1 species
AGUGUCUCCUUGUGGAGCUCAAGGAUGUGCUUCCACAUAGCAGUUU